UACGAACUGUGCAAACGUUGUUCGGAAUUACUGGGCGUAAAGGGCUCGUAGGCGGCCAACUAAGUCAGACGUGAAAUCCCUCGGCUUAACCGGGGAACUGCGUCUGAUACUGGAUGGCUUGAGGUUGGGAGAGGGAUGCGGAAUUCCAGGUGUAGCGGUGAAAUGCGUAGAUAUCUGGAGGAACACCGGUGGCGAAGGCGACAUCCUGGACCAAUUCUGACGCUGAGGAGCGAAAGCCAGGGGAGCAAACGGG
rnacentral:rRNA from 1 species